rnacentral:rRNA from 1 species
UACCAGCACCCCGAGUGGUCGGGACGAUUAUUGGGCCUAAAGCAUCCGUAGCCGGUCAUGCAAGUCCUCCGUUAAAUCCACCUGCUUAACAGAUGGGCUGCGGAGGAUACUACAAGGCUAGGAGGCGGAAGAGGCAAGCGGUACUCAGUGGGUAGGGGUAAAAUCCUCUGAUCCAUUGAAGACCACCAGUGGCGAAGGCGGCUUGCCAAUACGCGCUCGACGGUGAGGGAUGAAAGCUGGGGGAG